rnacentral:rRNA from 1 species
AGAGUUUGAUCCUGGCUCAGAGCGAACGCUGGCGGCGUGCUUAACACAUGCAAGUCGAACGCGCAGCAUUCUGUAGCAAUACAGGGUGUGGGCGCGUGGCGAACGGGUGCGUAACACGUGGAUAACCUUCCUUCAGGUGGGGAAUAACCCAGUGAAAAUUGGGCUAAUACCGCAUAACAAAGCGAGAAGACAUCUUUUUGCUUUCAAAGCCGCAAGGCGCCAGAAGAGGGAUCCGCGGCCGAUUAGCUUGUUGGCGGGGUAACGGCCCACCAAGGCAUUGAUCGGUAGCCGGACUGAGAGGUUGGCCGGCCACACUGGAACUGAGACACGGUCCAGACUCCUACGGGAGGCAGCAGUGGGGAAUCUUGCACAAUGGGCGAAAGCCUGAUGCAGCAACGCCGCGUGGGGGAUGAAGCUUCUCGGAGUGUAAACCCCUUUCGACCCGGAAGAAAGCCCGCAAGGGUUUGACGGUACGGGUAUAAGAAGCCCCGGCUAACUACGUGCCAGCAGCCGCGGUAAAACGUAGGGGGCCAGCGUUGCUCGGAAUUACUGGGCGUAAAGGGUCCGUAGGCGGUGUGGCAAGUCGGUAGUGAAAUCUCUGGGCUUAACCCAGAGGCUGCUGCCGAAACUGCCGUGCUAGAGUGUGAGAGAGGCGAGUGGAAUUACGGGUGUAGCGGUGAAAUGCGUAGAUAUCCGUAGGAACAUCCGAGGCGAAAGCGGCUCGCUGGAUCACAACUGACGCUGAGGGACGAAAGCUAGGGGAGCAAACAGGAUUAGAUACCCUAGUAGUCC